rnacentral:misc_RNA from 1 species
AACCUAGCACACCUGCGGUGUGUACCUGCGGAAGGAUCAUUACACAUAUAAAGUAUGCCUGGGAAAAUUCGAAAGAAAAGUACCCAGGCGUAUUCUUAUACCCAUGUCUUUUGCGUACUACUUGUUUCCUUGGUGGGCUUGCCUGCCAUUAGGACACCCCUACAAACCUUUUGUAAUUGCAGUCAGCGUCAAAAAAUAACGUAAUCGUUACAACUUUCAACAACGGAUCUCAGAUCGGAA